UUAUAUAACAGGUGCCGCUUUCAAGUCCAAAUUGCAGAUGGAAGUGGAUCAAUAAUUGCAACAUUAGUAGGUCAACCUGGAGAGAAUCUUCUUUCAAUGAAAGCUGAACAAAUCUACGAAACAAUUAACAUAAAGGAAUUCUGAUGAAACACCAGCAAAACUGUUCAUUUUGUCAUUUGCUGAGAAGCAGGAUACUCUCCAAUUGCCAGCAGUAUCAACAUCUACAAAUGCUGGUGAAAGCAGUAAAAGAGAAAUUGACAAUGUAUCAUCAUCAGAAGAACAAAAAAGCUAAUCAUUGGAAGUACCUCAUCUGGCAAGAGACAACAGACUGAGCGAACAACUCCAACAAAAAAAAACUACAUCUUCUAGCAAAAGUGAGGGUAUCAAACCAGUCGCUCCAACUAAGAAAAAUUAAAGUUCACUAUGACUAGCGCGAGCUUGUACAUACAUCUUUUGGUGGCUCGUACAUACCAAACUUUUGAUGGCCUAGAUGGUCAUGGAUCUGCAGGUAAAAUAUACAGGACUAUCCGUGCUUAUAGCUUUUAGCCUUAGUUUUGGCCACUGUGAAAAUGUGUUUUUGUCAAAUAGCACAAACUUGAGAGUCCUGUAACUAUAAUCUAAACUGCUUGUUGCAAAAUGCAAUGUAAAUAUAAUCUACUUUUUGGUUUGAAUUAGGUUAUGCUUCGUAAAAUUAGCUGCUUCUGACAAUUUCAAUGUAGUAUGUGGAGAAAUUAGAUGGCUUCUCUACUUUAACGUCUUUUUAUAAUUCUUC